rnacentral:rRNA from 1 species
GGCGGACGGGUGAGUAACGCGUGAACAACCUACCCAUGAGACCGGGAUAACAUCGGGAAACCGAUGCUAAUACCGGAUACACUUCACUUAUUGCAUGAUAAGAGAAGUAAAGGACAGAACCGCUCAUGGAUGGGUUCGCGUUCCAUUAGCUAGUUGGUAGAGUAACGGUUUACCAAGGCGACGAUGGGUAGCCGGCCUGAGGGGGUGAACGGCCACACUGGGACUGAGACACGGCCCAGACUCCUACGGGAGGCAGCAGUGGGGAAUAUUGCGCAAUGGGGGCAACCCUGACGCAGCAACGCCGCGUGAGCGAAGAAGGUUUUCGGAUCGUAAAGCUCUGUCACAGGGGAAGAAGAAGUGACGGUACCCUGAGAGGAAGCCCCGGCUAACUACGUGCCAGCAGCCGCGGUAACACGUAGGGGGCGAGCGUUGUCCGGAAUCACUGGGCGUAAAGGGCACGUAGGCGGUAAUCCAAGUCAGGUGUGAAAGUCCAUGGCUUAACCAUGGGAUUGCAUUUGAAACUGGAUAACUUGAGGGCAGGAGAGGUAAGUGGAAUUCCU